rnacentral:rRNA from 1 species
GACGUAGGGCGCGAGCGUUGUCCGGAUUUAUUGGGCGUAAAGAGCUCGUAGGCGGCUUGUCGCGUCGACUGUGAAAUCCCGCGGCUCAACCGCGGGUCUGCAGUCGAUACGGGCAGGCUAGAGUUCGGUAGGGGAGACUGGAAUUCCUGGUGUAGCGGUGAAAUGCGCAGAUAUCAGGAGGAACACCGAUGGCGAAGGCAGGUCUCUGGGCCGAUACUGACGCUGAGGCACGAAAGCGUGGGGAGCAAACAGG